rnacentral:misc_RNA from 1 species
CUACACUGACGGUCAGUCGCGCGUACGAGUUCGUAUCUAGCGGACUCGAGAUUUUAAAAUAUUUUUUUAAUUCCAUUUUUAAAUCAUAGACAAUAUUCCAACUGCCCUCAACAUAGGUUCUAAACCUGUCACGAACCAUAAAUUACAGAACUUUAUUUUUUUGUUCUAUUUUUAAAUUGCAAACCCUACGCACAAUGCCAGUGUCGUACACUUAAAGUUACAUGAACUGGUUCCCCGGUCAGUGCCGCUUGCAAAGGAUGAAUUGUUUCACGAAGAUGCAUCACUUAACUAUUUUGACACUCUCGCUCAUGCUAGCAUUCUGCAUACAGUUGCUAUCAGCGGAAGAAACCAUACUUUCAUCAGUAUUAACUCCAACAUCUCCCAAAGAGCUGAACCGACCAAGCCGGAGCUACUACGAUUCCCGAUACCCCAGGCCUUUAUACGAUAGAAUAGACUACGAAAGAUCUCGAUGCGGAAGAUGCUACGACGAUGACGAUGACGAUUACGACUACAGGAAAGACAGGAAUGACGAUAGACGAUCAAGACCUAGAAGUAAAAGCAGAAAUAGAUAUGACAAUGAUGAUGACGAUAGAAGAGUAGACGAUAAGAAGAAUAAGAAUGGUACAGAUGAUGGGGAAGAUGAUCACGGUGGUAAGAAGGGUGAUAGACCAAGUGGAGGUCGCAGAGAUCGUGAUAGACACAGAUAUGAAGAUAGAGAUAGAUACAGGCCUGAUUAUUAUGAUAGGUUCCUGAGGGACCCUUAUAGGGAACGGGAUUAUGACAGGCCUUACUAUGAUGAUUAUUAUAGGGAAAGAAGACCACUUUAUGACAGGUAUCCUGGUGGAUACGAUGACUAUCCAGGAAGAUAUGAUUACGGAUAUUCUAGGCCUAGGCCAGCUUAUGACAGAUAUGAUGAUGCCUAUGGAGGAUACGGGCCUAGUGACGGACGAGGACCCCACGGCAGUUUCAGACCCUGGGAUGAGACUUACCGUGGUCUGUCAGGAUGGGACGCUGGUGGCAGAGGAUACUACUUCGCAUCAGGCAGGCCAGACGCCGCUCCAGCUCCGGCGUGGGGCCGUGGAGACUAUGCUAGGCCGCAAGCAAGCUGGCCAAGUUCUGGAUAUGGAGGCGGUUACAGAGACCCAGUAGAUUAUAGAGGUUCGUUUGGUUACGGGCAAAGUGCAGGCUAUGGGCAAGGCGGAGGCUAUGGGCAAGGCGGAGGCUACGGGCAAAGUGUAGGCUAUGGGCAAUCCGCUGGUUACGGACAAAGCAUUGGUUAUGGGCAAAGUGCAGGCUAUGGCCAAAGCGUUGGUUAUGGGCAAAGUGAAGGCUACGGGCAAAGUGGAGGCUACGGUCAGUCCAGCGGCUGGCAAAGCGUGGGUGAGAGAAGGCCGUAUAGAGAUCAAAGUGGUGUCCUGAAGUUAGAUGAGAAAGACAACAUCCCAUCGCAUAAUCAAAACACCCAAGGCACGCAAUCACUAUACGGACAUACAAAUACUCAACCACCCUACGUAAAAUCGAAUACUUACGGUCAAAAUUACAGACAACCAAGUACUUACCAGUCAAGUUAUGGGCAAAAUUUGGGCCAAAGUACAACGCCAGAGACCAACUACUUAUUCCAGAGAGGAGAUGAACCUGUUACAGAAAAAGUUGAUGCGUCCACCGAGAAAUCCGCAGCUUCGUAGCGUAUCAUUAAGAUAUAAGUGUAAAAUGGCUAUGAUUUUUAGUUUUAAUUAGCUAAUGUAGAGUGUAAAAUAAAAAUGAAGGAUUCAAUGUAAUUACAUGUUUACCUGAAUUAUUAUUUUUCCACAGAAUCAUUUUUGUGAUAGGGCUGUAAUAGCAGCUAUCUUAAUCGCUGUAACUACAAGAAAACUUUCAAGUAACUGACAAGAAAGAAAGACAUUCAUAUUGAUUUAAGAAUAAGACCUGCAUUCACAGAUUUUGAAAAAUAUAUACAGUCCUAAAUUGACCAUUUUCUCGCUGAAUAAUUUAUUUUGAAUCUGUAAAUACUGAUCCUAAUGCCUUCAAAAUUUAUGGGCCGUUUCCUAAGAAGUUAUUUUCUAGCUUCAGCGGUUAAGGUAGCUGCCCUUAUUGCCCUUUUCAAAAAUUCACUUUGCAUAGAGGCAAAAAAUAUUUGUUACCUUUUAUAUUUUUUCAUUGUACCAUAAAUUAUUGAGCAUUAUGAUUUGAAAUAAGAAAGUGAUUAUCUCUAUAUUUAUGGAUUUAAAAUAGCAAACAAUCAAAAUGGCGGCUGAUUUGUCGAGUCGGUUGAAAUGUCACAGUACAGUCCCACGAUGGUAGAUAACCGACACUCAAAUUAACAACUGCCUAGUUGAUUAGUGAUUACAUAGCAUUUUCCCAUGGUUAGCUGGCAUGCGUUGUGAUAUACGUAAAUUGAGUAAUUUAAGCUUUAUAAUUAAAGUAAUUUUGUACACAU